rnacentral:tRNA from 1 species
GAGGGUAUAGCUCAGUGGUAGAGUACCUUCCUAACACGCACAAGGUCCUGGGUUCAAUCCCCAGUACCUCCA